CGUUCGCAAACGCAAAUGCGAGAUUGAAUUAAUACAGUUUUGAGUGCGAAACCUAAUAGUAUCGGAUUAGUAGAAGAAAUUGUUAAUUAAGGACUGAACAUGAAGUGUUUCUCUUCUCAGUACGCUGUUAUUUGAGAUAAAUCUCCCGGAUAUCCGCUCGAGAUGACAGGCAAACGCUGUAUCAUUUUAUAACAAGCGACAAGCCGCACGCCUGCGAUCUCUGCAACAAGAAGUUCGCACUCGCCUGCAAUCUUAGAGCUCACAUGAAAACACACGAAGGAGAUCCGCAGGAGGAGUGCAGCCGUUGCGGAAAGAUGUUCAUCCUGUGCGGUGGCGGAUCAGAGGGUUGCUGCCCCCAAUGCAGAGACUCCGAUUCCAGCGGAAACCACACGGAGGAUAGCAACGGAUCUCCACCAGAAUAAUCAUCUUAUUUGAAGAUGAUCUUCAAAGGUGAUCAUCUUUGAGCUAAAGAUCAUCUUUGUUCACGUUAUGUUUAGGUGAUAUCGAAAAUCUUGCCGUCCAUUGCGAUCACACAAUUUUGUUGCUAAAUGUAUAAGUUUAAGUACAACUCGUAGCUAUUAUUAUUAUUAUGAUUACAUUACAAUUAAUUGAUAUUUAUGUAAGCCACAUAUAUUCAUCAUAUUAGUUAUGAUUACGUUUGUGAUUAGAUGAAUCAAAUGGGCCCUCAAGGAUAAACCGAUUAGAAUGCAUUUUCCGCUCGCCGCGAAGGAAGAGGAGACGCGACGAAGGCGGGAGGGAGGAAUACAUGGUUGGUGUCUAAUGGUGCAUUAAAGAAUCCCGGUGACGUGGCUUAAUCCGAUUUGCAUUCGAAAAAAUUUCAUUAAUAAUUUGUACGGAAAAUUACGUUAAGCCACGAAUUAAGGACUAUGUUUUUUUUGUUAUUUAAGAAAGAGAAAGACGAGAGAUGAAGAGGAAGAAAAAAACAAACUGUAUCGAAGAGAAAAAGAAAACUAAUCCGAUGUCGGGCCCUCUUCAAGAGAAGAAAAGGGUAACAAAUUCGAUAUCUUCCAAAAACCAACAACGCAUGACACAUUAAAGCCGACAGGUGUCAAAUGUCGCAUGAUGGAUAUAAGGCGCACCACCACACCACACCGGUUUCUUUAAUUUUGCUUCAUCUAAUCAAAACACAAUUUAUUCUUUUUUUAUAUAUUUGUCUUUCC